rnacentral:rRNA from 1 species
AGGCUAAGUGUAAAACGAUGUGGGAACGCAGAGACAGCCAGGAGGUUGGCUUAGAAGCAGCCACCCUAAAAAGAGUGCGUAAUAGCUCACUGGUCGAGUGGUCCUGCGCGGACAAUGUAACGGGGCUCAAGCCUAGAGCCGAAGCUGCGGAUUUCCGCGUAAGCGGGAGUGGUAGGGGAGCGUCGAUCUUGCAGAGAAGCGGCGGUGGGAACCGUCGUGGAGCGUGAUCGAGUGAGAAUGCUGGCAUGAGUAGCGAGAGAGGGGUGAGAAACCCCUCCGCCGUAAGCCCAAGGGUUCCUGGGGAAGGCUAAUCCGCCCAGGGUCAGUCGGGAGCUAAGGCGAGGCCGAGAGGCGUAGUCGAUGCACAACUGGUUGAUAUUCCAGUACCACCGUGUCCGCGCCCAUCCCGAAUCGAGGGUACUAAGGGGCUGGCCUUCGGGCCGAUCCGACCGACCUUGACAAGGGAAGCGAAGGGGGGACGCAGGAGGGUAGAUGAGCCCAGGCGUUGGUUGUCCUGGGGGAAGCGAGUAGAGGGAGGUCUAGGCAAAUCCGGACCUCACAUACCUUGAGUCGUGAUCCCGAGCCGUUCUAGGCGAAGUCAUUGAGCCCAUGCUGCCAAGAAAAGCCCCUAGCGAGCUGACACGGUGCCCGUACCCCAAACCGACACAGGUGGGCAGGUAGAGCAUACCAAGGCGAUCGGGAGAACUGUGGUUAAGGAACUCGGCAAAAUUCCUCCGUAACUUCGGGAGAAGGAGGGCCUCGUUAGGGUGAAGGACUUCGCGUCCGGAGCUCGAGGAGGUCGCAGCGAAUUGAGGGAAGCGACUGUUUACUAAAAACACAGCAGCGUGCUAAGUCGUAAGACGACGUAUACGCUGUGACGCCUGCCCGGUGCCGGAAGGUUACGGGGAAGGGUCAGUCCUUCGGGACGAAGCUCUGAACCUAAGCCCCGGUAAACGGCGGCCGUAACUAUAACGGUCCUAAGGUAGCGAAAUUCCUUGUCGGGUAAGUUCCGACCUGCACGAAUGGCGUAACGACUUCCCUACUGUCUCAACCACAGACCCGGCGAAAUUGAAGUACGAGUAAAGAUGCUCGUUAGCUGCACCAGGACGGAAAGACCCCGUGGACCUUUACUGCAGCUUGAUGUUGAGCUUUGGUACGGAUUGUGUAGGAUAGGUGGGAGUCUGGGAAGCUCCGGCGUUAGCCGGGGUGGAGACAACGUUGAAAUACCACCCUGUUCGUACUGGGGCUCUAACCUCGGCCCGUAAUCCGGGCCAGGGACCGCGUCAGGUGGGCAGUUUGACUGGGGCGGUCGCCUCCUAAAAUGUAACGGAGGCGCCCAAAGGUUCCCUCAGGCUGGUUGGCAAUCAGCCGUCGAGUGCAAUGGCAAAAGGGAGCUUGACUGCGAGACUAACAGGUCGAGCAGGUGCGAAAGCAGGGCAUAGUGAUCCGGCGGUUGCUUGUGGAAGCGCCGUCGCUCAACGGAUAAAAGGUACCCCGGGGAUAACAGGCUCAUCUUCCCCAAGAGUCCAUAUCGACGGGAAGGUUUGGCACCUCGAUGUCGGCUCGUCGCAUCCUGGGGCUGAAGCCGGUCCCAAGGGUUGGGCUGUUCGCCCAUUAAAGCGGUACGCGAGCUGGGUUUAGAACGUCGUGAGACAGUGGACAUACGCGCUGUCUAUAAACUUGGCUAUAUGCUGGAAACACCGAUUGAAUCCUGCGCUACUAGUCAGUAGCGGCUUCGUGACUGUUACAUCCCAACGAUAGGUUGGAGGUCAUGGACCCAGCUGGCAGUGACAACGCGACAGGUGCGGUCAAUCAGCAGGAAAGACUGGAUGCAUACCAAACUCUGCAUCCAGAAUCCUCAGAGACCAUAUGCCAGGCAUCGCUCUUACCGGCGGUGAAGAUAUGGUCCGAUCUGCAUGGCGACA